UACGGAGGAUGCAAGCGUUAUCCGGAUUUAUUGGGUUUAAAGGGUGCGUAGGCGGAAGAUUAAGCGUGAGGUGAAAUGCCCCGGCUCAACCGGGGAACUGCCUCGCGAACUGGUCAUCUGGAAUUCUCCUGCCGUGGGAGGAAUGGGUAGUGUAGCGGUGAAAUGCAUAGAUAUUACCCAGAACACCGAUUGCGAAGGCAUCUCACGAAGGGGCGAUUGACGCUGAGGCACGAAAGCGUGGGGAUCGAAC
rnacentral:rRNA from 1 species